ACGGCUCAGUAACACGUGGCCAAACUACCCUCUGGAGCGCGACAACCUCGGGAAACUGAGGCUAAUCGUGCAUACCGCUCUCAUGCUGGAAGUUGCAGAGAGCUCGAAAUGCUCCGGCGCCAGAGGAUGUGGCUGCGGCCGAUUAGGUAGACGGUGGGGUAACGGCCCACCGUGCCAGUAAUCGGUACGGGUUGUGAGAGCAAGAGCCCGGAGACGGUAUCUGAGACAAGAUACCGGGCCCUACGGGGCGCAGCAGGCGCGAAACCUUUACACUGCACGCCAGUGCGAUAAGGGGACUCCAAGUGCGAGGGCAUAGAGCCCUCGCUUUUCACGACCGUAAGGAGGUCGUAGAAUAAGUGCUGGGCAAGACCGGUGCCAGCCGCCGCGGUAAUACCGGCAGCACGAGUGAUGGCCGCUCUUAUUGGGCCUAAAGCGUCCGUAGCUGGCCGCGCAAGUCCAUCGGGAAAUCCGCACGCUCAACGUGCGGGCGUCCGGUGGAAACUGCGUGGCUUGGGACCGGAAGAUCCAGAGGGUACGUCCGGGGUAGGAGUGAAAUCCUGUAAUCCUGGACGGACCACCGGUGGCGAAAGCGCUCUGGAAAGACGGAUCCGACGGUGAGGGACGAAAGCUCGGGUCACGAACCGGAUUAGAUACCCGGGUAGUCCGAGCUGUAAACGAUGUCUGCUAGGUGUGCCACAGGCUACGAGCCUGUGCUGUGCCGUAGGGAAGCCGUGAAGCAGACCGCCUGGGAAGUACGUCCGCAAGGAUGAAACUUAAAGGAAUUGGCGGGGGAGCAC
rnacentral:rRNA from 1 species